rnacentral:misc_RNA from 1 species
AACGCACAUUGCGCCUCCUGGUAUUCCGGGGGGCAUGUCUGUUUGAGCGUCAGUACACACCUCCUGUGAUCUUCAUUGUUGAUCAGGGUUCCUGGGGUUCUGGGCGGCGUCCUCGACGCGGCUCGCCCCUAAUGUGGCACGCUUGCGGACCUCCAGGUCAGUGAUCGACGUAGUAAACUCGAAAGAAGCUCGUUGAGAAACUGCUGGAUGGCUCUAUUUCGCCUGAAAUCAAACUCAUUUUUCUAUGGUUUGACCUCAGAUCAGACAAGGAUACCCGCUGAACUUAAGCAUAUCAAUAAGCGGAGGAGAGUCGAGUGCACGUAGCAUUGUGAAUCAUCGAAUCUUUGAACGCACAUUGCGCCCCUUGGUAUUCCGAGGGGCAUGCCUGUUCGAGCGUCAUUUCACCACUCAAGCCUGGCUUGGUAUUGGGCGCCGCGGUCCGCCGCGCGCCUCAAUGUUUCCGGCUGAGCCGUCCGUCUCUAAGCGUUGUGGUAACCUAUCCGCUUGCGAGUCGGGGGGCGUCUGGCCGUUAAACUCAUUCAAAGGUUGACCUCGGAUCAGGUAGGGAUACCCGCUGAACUUAA